rnacentral:tRNA from 1 species
GUUGUGGCUCAGGGGUAGAAUACUUGCCUCGCCCGCAUGAGUCCCUGGGUUCGAUCCUCAACACAACA